rnacentral:lncRNA from 1 species
CGGGACCAACCAAUUUUGAAUUAUGAAAGAGACUAUUUUUUUAUUUUCAAAUAAAUAUAAAUAACCAAACUUAUCUAAUACAGAAACAGAAAUCAAAUCCCAUCAAAAAAUGACGCAACAUAAGUCUUGUUCAAAUUCAAAUAAAGUCGGCUCUUAACAAUUUCUAAAAUUUCCAAUUGCUUCGACUUCCACCAACUUGCUAUCACCAUUGUAUAUGUAUCUUUCACCAUUAUUACGCUUUCGAUAGUUCAGGCAACCCUGCAUAGACACAGUGAUCUGAGUUAUUUUACUGAAAUCUCUCCAUCAUUUGUGUCUUGGUACCGAAGUCAAAUUAACCUUCGAACAAAUAAAAUUAAGAGGUGUACCUUUCUUUGCACGCCAUGUGUGAUAGUUGGAACAAUCCUUCCUAUUAUGACCUGCAACUUUACAAAAGAAAAAAUCAUCUAUAGUUGGUUCCUGAUAUUGUAUCUUUUGUGCUGUUGUAUCCACAACUUCCUUAUUCUUUCUUUUUUUUCCUUAGGCACAAUGGCUAAGUGAACAUUUUCUAUCUUUUCCUAGUUCAGUCUAUACACAGUGAGAGAUUAGAUCAUUUGGAGAGCAUGUCUCUUUCUGACAAUUAUAGCUCACUUUAAACUGGCUAAAUUGUGGUGGGAGGGAUAUCAAAACUCAUACGAUAUAUUGUAUAGACUGAAAUCGGCAGCAAACUAUAAUUAAAUAACUGGAACUGAAAAAAAGUAGGACCUCGUACCAAUAAUUUAACCAACCACAACCACAAUUAAAUCUCUAACUUCAUACACGAAAAAAAGCAUGUGUCACGACCCGGAUUUCCCACCCUCGGGUGUCGUGAUGGCGUACUAAUACGAGCUAGGAAAGCCAAUUAUUUGCACACUUUACCUUUUUACACAUUUUAUAUUCAUUAACAAUUGCGGAGUAAUAAUAUUUAAAUAGCGGAAUUUAACAUAAGCGGAGGAAAAAGCAAUAAGCUAUAUGAACAUGAAUCCAAUACAACUGUUUGAGCCUCGACUACCCGGAACUGGUGUCACAGUUUCAUAGACGGUCUAGGAAUACUACAAAUAGAGGUCUGAAAGAAUUAAAUACAGCACUGUCUUUGGAAAUACAGGUAAGAAACAGGAAGGUAGAUAGAAGGAGACGCCAAGGCCUACGGACGCCUGUAGGGUUACCUCGGGUCGCCUGAUGAAUGAGAUUCAGCAAUCUCACUGCGGUCCAAAGUCCACAACACUGGGGUCUGCACAAAAGAGUGCAGAGUGUAGUAUCACCACAACCGACCCAUGUGCUGGUAAGUGUCUAGCCUAACCUCGGUGACGUAUGAGGCUAGGACCAGACUACCAAAUAACCUUGGGCAGUUAAAUGAUAUACAGCGGAAAGUAAAGAAGAAAAAAAUAAGUAAAGAUGGGAGGGAGAAACAUGCUUCGGGGAAUAACAGAUAAGAAUAGAUUAUCAAAGAACUAUAAAGGAAUCAAAAUCCAACCAUUAACAAGAAUAAGGAAAACAAAGGCAGAUUUCACUUUCUUUUCACGUCUUGUGGUAGGCGUACCACCCGCUCCCAUUUAAUUAUAUCUUGUGGUAGGCGUACCACCCGCUCCCAUUUAUAAUAUCAUUGUGGCGUAUAACCCGAUCCACAUAUAAUAUUGUUGCGGCGUAUAACCCGAUUCAUAUAUAAUAUUGUUGCGGCGUGNNNNNNNNNNNNNNNNNNNNNNNNNAACAAUCAUAAUAAGAGUCCCGACAAGGGAUCAAUAAGGUCUACACUAUCCCGACAAGGGAGUCGACAGUAUAACUAAUCACGUCCCGGCAAGGGAGAAGCAACUAUAACCAAACUCGUUACCACACCUAACUAUCUCAGCUACAACCAAACUUGUUACAACACCUAACUAUCUCAGUUAUAACCAAACUUGUUACAACACCUAACUAUCUCAGCUAUAACCAAACUUGUUACAAUACCUAACUACCUUAGCUAUAACCAAACUUGUUCCGACCCCUAUCACAAAGAAUCAUCAACCUAAGCAUCCGUAAUAUCAAUUAAGAACACAAUGUAAGGGAGCCAUAACUCAACAAUAGCCCGGCAAGGGGGAAACAUAAUGAUCUCUACUCUUUCUCACUUUUACUUUACAACUCGAACCAAUGCUCUAGAGUUUCAGUUAUCACUAUACUUUCACAAUUCGUUAUACAAUUGGAACCAACGCUCCUCAAUGUUCAAAGGUCACAAUCUUUCCACAACUUUACACAACAAAUAGAAAUCUUCACCAAGGCAUGAAUAAUACAACGAAGUCAUGAAAAUUACAAUAUAAGAGUCACGGUCAUGCUUGACACUAACGUAUAGAUACUCGGCACCAUGCCUAUACGUCAUACUCAAUAAGAAGAAAAUAGCAAAUAGGACACAACACCUAAUCCCUCAAGUUAAAGUUAGACCAAACACUUACCUCAAUGUCUCAGACACAACUCAAGUUUUAAUUAUAGCUUUACCUGUUGAUUCCACCACCAACUCGCUCGUAUCUAGCUACAAGUUACAUAAUUACAUAAAUAAACGCUAAAUGAAUCAAUUGAAUGUAUGAAAAUGAGUUUUUUCAAAGUUUUACCCUAAAAGUCAAAAUCGUCCCCGGGCCCACGUGGUCAAAACCCGAGGUUCGGACCAAUUUUUAAAAAAUCUAGGUUCUACCCAAAACACCCAAUUUCCCCCAUGAAAAUCAUUGAUUUGAAGUUGAAAUCAUCUUAAAAGAUGUUUAUGAUUGAAGAAAACUAGUUAAGAAUGACUUAUAAUUGAUUUGGAGAAGAAAGGUUGUUUGAAAAAUCGCGUCUUAUGUUUUUGGGGUUUUGAAAAAUGAAAAAUAACUGAAAAUCCCGUCUAUUUAUACUAUUCUCAAGUGCCCUGUGCGGACCGCACAAAAUGGACUGCGGCCGCACAGUCCUUCCUGGGAUGCUGCAGAUCAGCGCCCUGUGCGGACCGCACAAAACCGACCAUAGCCGCACAACCCAGUGAAAAACUGUGCGGACCGCACAAAACUGACUGCGACCGCACAGUCUCCACCGCGCACCACACGAACCUCACAUGGACUGCGCUGGCCCCUUCCGUGGUCGCACACAAUUUCUCGUGGACCGCACUAGCAGGUUCAGAGACCCGCAAAUUUCUCUGAACCUGCAACAAGUGUGUUUUUAGACCUAAGGCAUCCCGGAACCUACUCGAAACUCACCCGAUCCCUCGGGGCUCCUAACCCAACAUACGUACUAACUCACUAACAUCAUACGAAUUUAUCCAUACGAUCAAGUCGCCAAAAUAACCUCAAUAACAACGAAUUAAACCUCAAAAUCCAAGAAUUUUUCUCAAACUUCGUAAAACAUCAACUUUUGCAAUUUAAGUCCGAAUCACGUCAAAUGACAUCUGUUUUCACCAAAUUUUACAGAAAUGUCUUAAAUCAUAUAUAAGAUCGGUACCGGGCACCGAAACCAAAAUACGGACCCGAUACCAUUAUGUUCUAAGCAAAUUUCAUUUCAAAAUCCUUUAAACAAUUUCAGAAAACAAUUUUCUUUGAAAAUUCAUUUAUCGGGCUUGGGACCUCGGNNNNNNNNNNNNNNNNNNNNNNNNNGUUUACCCAAAACGUUGACCGAAGUUAAAUUUAUUCAUUUUACAGUCAAAACUUAUCAUUUUUCACAGACUUUCACAUUUACGCUUUCCGGCUACGUGCCCGAACUGCGCACAGACGUUAAAUGAGGUUUUCAAGGUCUCAGAACACAGAAUUUCGUUUUUAAACAAGGUCAUCACAGCAUGGAACCAAAAAUUGACUACAAAAAAGACAUCAGAAGCGUUGAAAAAAACAAAGAAUCUAAAAAGCAUAUGAAAACACAUGGAAAGCAACACAAAAUGCAAAUUUCAAAAACUCUAAACCCUAUAUUAUUCACCAAAAUAAUAGUUUAUACUUACUUGAAAGAGGCAUAACGAAGCAAAAAUUCCAAAACUUGAAUCCGAUUAUCACCCUCUUUAAUCGGCAACCAUUUUCGCUCUUAGCUAGUAGGGUUAGAAAUGUUUUGAUAAAGUGAAUGUGGUCGGAUGUGUUUAGGUUAAAACGAAGGGUUAGUAUCACGGGAGGGUCGGUAAUGGGACGGGUUACGAGUGGAUAGUUUAGGACUUGAUUUUAAAUUGGGCCAAUGAAAAUAUAACAAGUGGAUUAAAAAGUAUUUUUUUAAUAGAAGGGUGUUAAAAAUAAGGGUAUAGCUAAUGCAGAACACAAACGGUAAGUGCUUUUUUAUUCAAAAAAUUGGAAGGAGACUUUUAUGGUACCAAAUUCAAUACUUCUCCCUAAAUAAGGGUAAUUUAGCCCUUUUCCGUAGAAUUAUUUAGUUAUAUUCUCCCUAAAUGUGUAGUUGUUACGUCAGAAGUCAACCCAAUGACCAUCAAUGUUGGAAUAUGC